CGGCGGACGGGUGGAGUAAUAGCCUACGGAAGUACUGCCUCGGUAGUGGGGGACAACGUUUCGAAAGGAACGCUAAUACCGCAUACGUCCUACGGGAGAAAGCAGGGGACCUUCGGGCCUUGCGCUAUCAGAUGAGCCUAGGUCGGAUUAGCUAGUUGGUGAGGUAAUGGCUCACCAAGGCGACGAUCCGUAACUGGUCUGAGAGGAUGAUCAGUCACACUGGAACUGAGACACGGUCCAGACUCCUACGGGAGGCAGCAGCC
rnacentral:rRNA from 1 species